UUUUAAAUUGCUGUAGUAUUUUGACUAUACAAAGGUAUUGUAAUAAGACUUUAAUUGAGUGCUAAAAGAAUGGAAUUACAAAAAAAGGCUUUUUUAAUUUUAAAAAUUAAAAUUAUUUUUUUUUGUGAAGAAACAAAAAUUUAAAUUAAAGACAAGAAGACCCUAAGAAUUUUUUUUUUUAUUAAAAUAAUAUUUUAUUUUAAAAAUUUAAUUGGGGCGAUUAAUUAAUAUUAAAAACUUUAUUAACAAAAAAAAAUGAUCCAUUAUUAAUGAUUAUUUGAUUAAAAUACUCUAGGGAUAACAGCGUAAUAAUUUUUGAUAGUUCUUAUAGAAAAAAUAGUUUGCGACCUCGAUGUUGGAUUAGGAUUCUUUUUUAAUGAAG
rnacentral:rRNA from 1 species